CACACUAUCAUUACGUGAAUACAUAGCGUAAUGAAGCGAACCGGGGGAACUGAAACAUCUAAGUACCCCGAGGAAAAGAAAUCAACCGAGAUUCCCCCAGUAGCGGCGAGCGAACGGGGAGCAGCCCAGAGUCUGAAUCAGCAUGUGUGUUAGUGGAAGCGUCUGGAAAGUCGCACGAUACAGGGUGAAAGUCCCGUACACAAAAGUGCAUGUGUUGUGAACUCGAAGAGUAGGGCGGGACACGUGGUAUCCUGUCUGAAUAUGGGGGGACCAUCCUCCAAGGCUAAAUACUCCUGACUGACCGAUAGUGAACCAGUACCGUGAGGGAAAGGCGAAAAGAACCCCGGCGAGGGGAGUGAAAAAGAACCUGAAACCGUGUACGUACAAGCAGUGGGAGCACCCUUUGGGGUGUGACUGCGUACCUUUUGUAUAAUGGGUCAGCGACUUAUAUUCUGUAGCAAGGUUAACCGAAUAGGGGAGCCGAAGGGAAACCGAGUCUUAACUGGGCGUUAAGUUGCAGGGUAUAGACCCGAAACCCGGUGAUCUAGCCAUGGGCAGGUUGAAGGUUGGGUAACACUAACUGGAGGACCGAACCGACUAAUGUUGAAAAAUUAGCGGAUGACUUGUGGCUGGGGGUGAAAGGCCAAUCAAACCGGGAGAUAGCUGGUUCUCCCCGAAAGCUAUUUAGGUAGCGCCUCGUGAAUUCAUCUUCGGGGGUAGAGCACUGUUUCGGCUAGGGGGUCAUCCCGACUUACCAACCCGAUGCAAACUGCGAAUACCGAAGAAUGUUAUCACGGGAGACACACGGCGGGUGCUAACGUCCGUCGUGAAGAGGGAAACAACCCAGACCGCCAGCUAAGGUCCCAAAGUCAUGGUUAAGUGGGAAACGAUGUGGGAAGGCACAGACAGCCAGGAUGUUGGCUUAGAAGCAGCCAUCAUUUAAAGAAAGCGUAAUAGCUCACUGGUCGAGUCGGCCUGCGCGGAAGAUGUAACGGGGCUAAACCAUGCACCGAAGCUGCGGCAGCGACACUAUGUGUUGUUGGGUAGGGGAGCGUUCUGUAAGCCGUUGAAGGUGUACUGUGAGGUAUGCUGGAGGUAUCAGAAGUGCGAAUGCUGACAUAAGUAACGAUAAUGCGGGUGAAAAACCCGCACGCCGGAAGACCAAGGGUUCCUGUCCAACGUUAAUCGGGGCAGGGUGAGUCGACCCCUAAGGCGAGGCCGAAAGGCGUAGUCGAUGGGAAACAGGUUAAUAUUCCUGUACUUGGUGUUACUGCGAAGGGGGGACGGAGAAGGCUAUGUUAGCCGGGCGACGGUUGUCCCGGUUUAAGCAUGUAGGCGGGAAGUUUAGGUAAAUCCGGACUUCUUUUAACGCUGAGGUGUGAUGACGAGGCACUACGGUGCUGAAGUAACAAAUGCCCUGCUUCCAGGAAAAGCCUCUAAGCAUCAGGUAACACGAAAUCGUACCCCAAACCGACACAGGUGGUCAGGUAGAGAAUACCAAGGCGCUUGAGAGAACUCGGGUGAAGGAACUAGGCAAAAUGGUGCCGUAACUUCGGGAGAAGGCACGCUGAUAUGUAGGUGAAGUG
rnacentral:rRNA from 1 species